GAUGAACGCUGGCGGCGUGCUUAACACAUGCAAGUCGAACGAUGAAGCCCAGCUUGCUGGGUGGAUUAGUGGCGAACGGGUGAGUAACACGUGAGUAACCUGCCCUUGACUCUGGGAUAAGCCUGGGAAACUGGGUCUAAUACUGGAUAUGACUUCUCAUCGCAUGGUGGGGGGUGGAACGAUUUAUUGGUCUUGGAUGGACUCGCGGCCUAUCAGCUUGUUGGUGGGGUAAUGGCUCACCAAGGCGACGACGGGUAGCCGGCCUGAGAGGGUGACCGGCCACACUGGGACUGGGACACGGCCCAGACUCCUACGGGAGGCAGCAGUGGGGAAUAUUGCACAAUGGGCGCAAGCCUGAUGCAGCGACGCCGCGUGAGGGAUGACGGCCUUCGGGUUGUAAACCUCUUUCAGUAGGGAAGAAGCGAGAGUGACGGUACCUGCAGAAGAAGCGCCGGCUAACUACGUG
rnacentral:rRNA from 1 species